AGCAGUGUAGCAUAGUGGUAUGGAACAUGGCUGGUAACCAAAAGAUUCCUGGAUCGAUUCUCCGCUGGGGCACUGCUG